rnacentral:rRNA from 1 species
GCUGGCGGCGUGGAUAAGACAUGCAAGUCGAACGAGGCUAGUUUGGUAGCAAUACCGGGCUGGCUUAGUGGCGAACGGGUGCGUAACACGUGACCAACCUUCCCAAAAGUGGGGAAUAGCUCGCCGAAAGGCGAAUUAAUACCGCAUAUACCUCAAAGCAAUUUGAGGCAAAGCAGCAAUGCGCUUUUGGAUGGGGUCGCGGCCUAUCAGCUAGUUGGUGGGGUUAAGGCUCACCAAGGCAGCGACGGGUAGCUGGUCUGAGAGGACGACCAGCCACACUGGAACUGAGACACGGUCCAGACACCUACGGGUGGCAGCAGUCGAGAAUUUUUCUCAAUGGGGGAAACCCUGAAGGAGCGACGCCGCGUGGAGGAUGAAGGCUUUCGGGUUGUAAACUCCAGUCAUUUGGGAACAAAGUCCGCCUCUGGCGGAUGUGAUAGUACCAGAAGAGGAAGAGACGGCUAACUCUGUGCCAGCAGCCGCGGUAAUACA